rnacentral:rRNA from 1 species
UCAGUCGUAAACUUACAUUCACACCAUACUCGCCUGGGAACUACGAGCUAAGCUUAAAACCCAAAGGACUUGACGGUACCCCAUAUCCCCCUAGAGGAGCCUGUCCUUUAAUCGAUGAUCCACGUUUAACCUCACCAUUUUUAGCUUAUUCAGUCUGUAUACCUCCGUCGCCAGCUUACCCCGUGAGUGCCAGUGAGCUCAAUGUUUAUUCAACAAUACGUCAGGUCAAGGUGCAACUUAUAAGAUGGUAAGAGAUGGGCUACAUUUUCUAACAUAGAUCAUACGGAAAACUACUUAUGAAACCUAGUCGGAAGGCGGAUUUAGCAGUAAAUAGGAACCAGAAAGUCCUUUUUAACUC